rnacentral:lncRNA from 10 species
CUUGAUAAAGUAGGAAUAUGGCUGGGACCAUCCCUGACUCUCUUUUUUCCUUGAAUGUGAACACAUGAGUGAAGCAUACAUCCAUUGUCCAUGGGGCAAGAAACAUGAGGAUGAAAAGCCAAUAUGUUAAGGACAUGAAGUGAAAAGCGGGAAGAGCUUCUUAUUCAUGUUAUCACUGAGCAGGUCGGGAACUGGGGGCUCUGCUCAUUAUAGUUGCCCACGGCCUCCAGUCAAUGAAAUUUCCGGCCAAUGAAAUGCUCUACUGUGACUGAAGCAGCAAAGAGAAG